UUCCCUUAAGUUACGCAACCACGAAAUUCGUCUCCUUCCUACACUUCUCUUGCCCUGGAUCUUCCCCUGUAUAAUCAACUGAAGUAUGUUGUAUCUCUCAUUACGCAUAACAUGCCUACUAGCCAUAAGAUACUACUAGCAAAUCGAUAAAAUAUUGUCAGGAUGUUUUAGGUGAAACAGAAUUACAAAACAAUCUUGCUUUUAUCAAAACAAGUUUUGUUUUGUGAGUGAAACAAUGAAAUAUUUAAAGAAACAUCAAAUGUCAUUAGUUGAGUUGAUCCAAAAAUAAAUAGUUUUGAAAAAAAUGGAAGGUCUCACUGGAAAAAUUGGUCAGAUAGUAUUAACAAAAGUCAAAGAUGUAUUAACAAAAUACGAAGUAUUUCAAAAUAUGAAGAAAAUAUUUUCAGUUUUAAAUGGAGAACACGUUGAAGAUAUAAAUAUGGAUCCGGCAGUAGUGGCAAACUAUAAGUAUGCACCGAUAACCAGUGUGGACGUUAAAAGAAGCUUUUCGAUAUACAAAAAUGUUUUGAGUGACAGGCGCCGAAAAUUUACGACGGAACAUUGAAAUAAGUAUUUAGUUAUUUCAUGCUUUAAACAAAAAUGAUAUAUUUUCCUUCAUUUAAAGCGUGUCGAUAAAAAUAUUAGGUUAAAGCAUUUUGUUUUAAUUAUGUAUUUUUUUUGUUCCAUUUUAUUUUUAAUUUAUAAUAGUUUAUAAUAGUAUUUACUAGUUCUUAAGCUAAGGCUAGAGAUAAUUGUAUACCUAUAUUUUCUUAAAAAAAAUGGUUUGUCAAAAUGGA
rnacentral:lncRNA from 1 species